rnacentral:rRNA from 1 species
UACAGAGGGUGCGAGCGUUAAUCGGAAUUACUGGGCGUAAAGCGUGCGUAGGUGGUUUGUUAAGUCUGUUGUGAAAGCCCCGGGCUCAACCUGGGAAUGGCAAUGGAUACUGGCAGGCUAGAGUGCGGUAGAGGGGGGUGGAAUUCCGCGUGUAGCAGUGAAAUGCGUAGAGAUGCGGAGGAACACCGAUGGCGAAGGCAGCCCCCCUGGGCUAACACUGACGCUCAGGCACGAAAGCGUGGGGAGCAAACAGG